rnacentral:rRNA from 1 species
AUUGAACGCUAACGGCAUGCUUAACACAUGCAAGUCGAACGGCAGCACGGUCGUAGCAAUACGAUGGGUGGCGAGUGGCGGACGGGUGAGUAAUGUAUAGGAAUCUGCCUUGUAGUGGGGGAUAACCUGGGGAAACUCGGGCCAAGACCGCAAAAUAUUUACGAAGCAAAGUGGGGGACCGUAAGGCCCUCCGCUAUAAGAUGAGCCUAUAAUGGAUUAGCUAGUUGGUAGGGUAAAGGCCUACCAAGGCAAAGAUCCAUAGCUGGUCUGAGAGGAUGAUCAGCCACACUGGGACUGAGACACGGCCCAGACUCCUACGGGAGGCAGCAGUGGGGAAUAUUGGACAAUGGGCGAAAGCCUGAUCCAGCAAUGCCGUGUGUGUGAAGAAGGCCUUCGGGUUGUAAAGCACUUUUAGCGGGGAAGAAAAGCUUACGGCUAAUAUCCGUAAGUGCUGACGUUACCCGCAGAAAAAGCACUGGCUAACUCUGUGCCAGCAGCCGCGGUAA